GUUUUUUAUUAAUUGUUGUCGCAACUCGCAUGCUGCAUGUUUGUAUUUUUAAUUUUGGAAGUUGUAUACAAUUGACCAAAUAUAUUUGUUGUUAGCGCACUUUUAUAUCUUGGACAAAACAAAUGGCAGAAAAUAGACUAGGGUUUCUGUACAAAGCUGCUGCCUUACUGGCGCAAACGGAAAAUAAAAGUUAUGAUAUCCUCAGAAGUCACUACUUGAUGAGAUGUCCUGAACUAAGAUUUUCAAAACAAAUUUCUAGUGGUCGCUUAAGUAAAGAAAGGUGUUCUUAUUGUUGUUUGGCAUGGAAAAAAGAUGCAAAAUUAAGGGUAAAUCCUAUGAAAUUGUCUAGAAGGCAGAAAAAAAGACUGAAGUCUAAAAAUAAUAGAACUCUAUAUAAUUCUAAGCAAGUGG